GUGGGGGAAGGAGAGGGUUGCUAGUGAGCACUGGGCCAUGUCCUAAAGUGCCAGCCAGAUGGCCAUCUGUGCAGUUUGGCCUCCCCAGGCCUGCCGGGGAAGGAAGUAUGAAACCAAAGCCAGACAAGGGUGGGGAUCCAGCCAAGUGCCUCUCUGCAGGCUCCAAGCACAUGCCACUUCCUCACCCAGCAGACCUGCAUUUGCGCAUGUGCACACACACAUGCACAGGCACUGUGCUCUGUCAUCUAGCUGGUCAGUGCUAAUAGUUCUGGAAGGAGGGCCGCUGCUCUGCCCUGACCCAUUCAAGAUCGCAGUCCACCCUCCAGAAGUACUGGGGAUGUUCAGAAGACUUUACAAAGGACCUCCGGAGUCCAGGGCACUGCACACUGUGACUGGCGGCCACUCUUGUAUGCAAGAGCCCAAGGCCUCCAUCUCCCCUCUGAAUGGACCCCUCUCCCCUGGAUUUCAACUACGCUGAAGCCCAGCAGUCCAAAGUCAGCUCCAAAGAAAAGAAGACAGCCCUGAACACUUUGUGAGACCAUUUUCCAAUUCAGUAGCUGAGUCUUGGAGCAGCUCAGAAGUGGUCUGACAACUGCUAACCCCAGGCUCCAGAGAGGGCAGUUGCUUGGGGAUUCCAAAGCUCUUCCUGUUGACAUUCUGGAAUUUUCACCGCGCUUCAGAACUGUUCACUGACCCACAGAGUACCAGAGUGUGGCAGACCUCAGAAAUCUGGAUCAACCCUGUCCUUUAUUCAUAGGCAAGGAAACUGAGGCCCAGACACUUCCAAAGUCACACAACCAUUUGGAGUCAAGGGCGGAGCUCCAGCCAGAGUUCCAGAUCUCUGUGCUAAGCUUCAGGACUGAGAGAGAUGGAAAAGCAGCCCCACCCGACCACCCAGCACAAGAAGAUCCUAGCAUGCCCCAGGUUUCCCUUUUUAUUACCAACAUUUCCAAACUUACUGAAAGGUAGAAAGAGUGUAAUUAACACCCACAGAUCUAUAUGUGUCACCUAGAUUUAACAACUGCUAACAUUUUGCACUAUUUGCUUCAUUGUUUCUCUGCUGAAAUAUUUUAAAGCAAAUUACAAAUAGCAUGACAUUUCACACCUGAAUUCUUCCGAAUGAAUUUCUACAAAAAAUAAGAUCAUAUUCCUACGUUAAUUACAAUAUCAUUAAGGUACUUGACAAAAUUAAUCACAAUUCCUUAAAAUCUAAUGCCCAGUCUGAAUGUGUAGCAGACGCUGCUGGUGCCCCUCCCAUCUCUCCUGGCUGUCCCUGGGGCAGCACCCUGACACACUAGUGCUUCCUGCUCAAGCCCCGCAUUUCCAUCUGAGGGCAGCUUAGCACUGCAGGACCCUGUUCCCUCUUCAAGAGACAGGUCCAAGGGUCCCCAAAGCAACUGAAACCCCAAGGCCCACAGCGGGAACCCACUGCUAGUUCAGCCUGCAUUGGCUUGCCCCCGUGCCCAUUUCACUCUGCA
rnacentral:lncRNA from 1 species